GGCGGCGGCGCUUCCCUCAGGCACCGCCCGGCGCCGGGGGAGGCUGCGGUGGGCGACGAGGGCCGCGCUGGGGCCCCUCGCCCUCCUUUUCCAGCCUCGGGGGUUAUUUUCCCGCGAAGGCGGUUCUCCACCCCGGGCCCUGCGCCCAUGGCGUGUGAGGGGAGCCGCGAGGAACCGGCUGUGCCCGGCCCGGGGGCAAAGGCAACACGCACAGACCCCAAAAGCCCCGAAAAACCUUUCUUCUUGCUCAGAAUGAUAAUUUUUCAGUCAGAAAACCUCAUGGUUUGCAUCAUUCUCUGCUAGUCAUAUCCAGCUACCUGAGGUUAUAACUAUAUUCCCUCCCCUUUUGACAACUUUGGGGGAUCCGUAUGGAUUUUCCUAGGCCUAGAGCCAGAUGUGAAACCAUUUAACAUGGGAUACAAGUGUGGAUAUAACUAUGCUUAGCUUUAAGCAGGCAAGAAUACUACUCUAAGCCUUACGCACGCGCUGAAGUUUUUAAGACUGGGACCCACGUUGCAGCCGGCGGCUGGAUCCUGGUCACAGCUGGAGUCAACAGGAUGAGGAUCCAGCUUCAAUCACUGAGUGUCUGAGAAGUCUGGAAGUGCUGUCACCGUCCUAAGCAUUACUAGCAGCUCUUUUCCCCCCUUAGAGUGCACCUAAAUUAAAUAGAGCCAAGGUGUACCGCAAACUGGCGUUAUGGAUUUAAGGUACAGGAGCCUGGGAUAUCGCCUAGUGACUGAUAAAUAAAAACUUUUUGCCUGAAGAUCACUGGUAGAACAUAAAAGCAAGAAUCUGACUGAUGUUUGUAACAUCCAAAAAUCCUUACCAUCUGACAGCUGUUGAGUGGGCUCUUGCAAAAUGAUUUGGGUGGCCCAACAUGGACUUGUAUCCACAUCUGAACAAGCAUCAGAACUGACAUCUUCUAUCAUCUCCACCAGAGGUUCAAGGACCUAGUGAUCUCCCUCUAAAAAAAAAAAAAAAACCCUUUAAAGCAUAUGUGUUACAUCCACAUUGCAUAACGCGGUGUCAUGUAGAGCUAUGCAAAUAGCGGCUGCAGUCCUGGAAGCAGCCUGCUCUGGUGGUUCAGCAUCCUGACCAAACUAAUGCACCCUGCCUCUCGGCAUGGCUAAUUAGCCUUGGCAGCCCGCUCCGCUAACACGGUUAUACUACAGCUAGCCCAGUUAUCUCCACGCGCUCCUGCACUGUGCCAUGUAGACAGACUAAGAGAUGGAAGAGAGAAGACUGCAGUGAGCUGCCAGUUCCGGAUCCGUUCUGCAGCUAAAGAGAGAAUUUCAUUUUGGGUGCUGUCAGUCUCAUAACGUUCGUAGCUCUGAACUCACUUGGAGAGAAGGGGGGGAAAAAAAAAAAAAGGAAGUAACAACCCAAACUGGCAGCACAUGCAGCCUGACGGGAGAGGGACGGUUCCCUUCGCAAGCAGAAGCUUGACUGGGGAGUGUGGAUCUGAGAUGAACCUUUCACAGCAACGUGCGUUCUGCAAUUUCACUCAGACUGCGGCUAUUAAGAACCAAGUGGGCUGUAAUUAAUCAGCGACACCAAAGGAAAGGGAUGCUUUCAGAAUCCUUCCAGAGGUACCGUAAAGGGGAAUUUGUUAGGGAAGACAGUGCCCAACUAGAAAUGCUUUCUCAUUAAAAAAGAUAUUAAUUUUGUCAUCAGGAGAGACAAUUAAUAUCGACUAUUGUGUUUCCUACCAAAUGCAGAGAAUCUCUCAAGGAAUGUCUGGACAGGACUCAUCAUUUGGAAUAACUGACAUCAUAAGAAACAAUCAUUAUCUUCCCCUGCAACAGAUAAAUGCUGAUAUUUAUUCUGUGGUAAGCUGGACAGAUAUUCAUCAGCAGGGCCACUGCAUUGCUUAGUACUUCAUUGCUACAUUCUUGACAGCAGUUCAGAUAAAUACAAUAAACUGAUUUUUUU